rnacentral:rRNA from 1 species
ACACUCCUGCGGGAGGCAGCAGUAGGGAAUCUUCCACAAUGGGUGCAAACCUGAUGGAGCAAUGCCGCGUGAGUGAAGAAGGUCUUCGGAUCGUAAAGCUCUGUUGUUAGAGAAGAACACGUGCUAGGUAACUACUAGCGCCUUGACGGUAUCUAACCAGAAAGUCACGGCUAACUACGUGCCAGCAGCCGCGGUAAUACGUAGGUGACAAGCGUUGUCCGGAUUUAUUGGGCGUAAAGGGAGCGCAGGCGGUCUGUUUAGUCUAAUGUGAAAGCCCACGGCUUAACCGUGGAACGGCAUUGGAAACUGACAGACUUGAAUGUAGAAGAGGAAAAUGGAAUUCCAAGUGUAGCGGUGGAAUGCGUAGAUAUUUGGAGGAACACCAGUGGCGAAGGCGAUUUUCUGGUCUAACAUUGACGCUGAGGCUCGAAAGCGUGGGGAGCGAACAGGAUUAGAAACCCUUGUAGUCCCA